CAGUGCCAACUAGACCCCUCCGACGGACAAAUUCCCUCCGGACCCCUCCAGCAGUCGACCUUCCACAGUGUCCUCCAGACUCCUCCAGCGGACGAACUUCCAUAAUGCCUUCCGAAUUCUGCUAUCGAUCGACCUUCUGCCAGAUUCCUCAUGCAAUCAGACCACUCCAGUGGACAGUCUUCAGACAAGCUUCUACAUUAGACAAAUUCCAGACAGACUUCUCUAGCAAUCGAACUCCAGCCGGAUUUCUCCAACAGAAAAUUUUUGUCCGAACUUCUACAGCAGAUGACUUCCAUCUGCAGCAUCAAUGCCUAAGGCACCCAACAACAGUUAACCAGUCAACAACCUUGAAAACAUCCAAGCUUCUCUUAGAUUGCUGAG
rnacentral:lncRNA from 1 species